CUGAGGCACAGAGCAGCUAAGGAAUUUACUCGCGAUCACAGGACUUGUCUUAGGACAAAACAGGAACGAAAGAUUAAGGCCCUGGCAUCUCUGAGCUGGAAUCAGGGAUCAACAAGGCAAGCCCUGACAACAAGAAGUUCACCCCGUGGACACAGAUCACAGCACACACAGCACACCACAGCCCACCUUGCUAAACCCUGUGCAGAUGCUGAGAGAGUAAAAGGAGAGGAGCUGAGUGAAAUCAGAGAGCAAGUUCCAGCAUGUGUGGUGACAGAAGGGUUGUGAAGAACUAGAAAUGCACCAGGAGGAACAGGACACACAAAAACGAGAUGGUGUUUGCUUCUGGAGAAGGAAUCGGGU